rnacentral:rRNA from 1 species
AUUGAACGCUGGCGGAAUGCUUUACACAUGCAAGUCGAACGGUAACGCGGGGCAACCUGGCGACGAGUGGCGAACGGGUGAGUAAUGCAUCGGAACGUGCCCAGUAGUGGGGGAUAGCCCGGCGAAAGCCGGAUUAAUACCGCAUACGACCUACGGGUGAAAGCGGGGGAUCGCAAGACCUCGCGCUAUUGGAGCGGCCGAUGUCAGAUUAGGUAGUUGGUGAGGUAAAGGCUCACCAAGCCAACGAUCUGUAGCUGGUCUGAGAGGACGACCAGCCACACUGGAACUGAGACACGGUCCAGACUCCUACGGGAGGCAGCAGUGGGGAAUUUUGGACAAUGGACGCAAGUCUGAUCCAGCCAUUCCGCGUGCAGGAUGAAGGCCCUCGGGUUGUAAACUGCUUUUGUACGGAACGAAAAGGUUUCUAUUAAUACUAGGAGCUCAUGACGGUACCGUAAGAAUAAGCACCGGCUAACUACGUG